AAGAGGACACAGCAUCUGAGUGUUGUGCUGGCCAAAAUGCAGGGUAAGAGACAGUUUACGCCAUACGAUUGCAUUAAAAAUUUCCCCAGCUGAAAUUUCAAGCCCUUCCAAACAGGCAUGCCUCAAAGGAAAACUGGAGAUUGGAAAACGUAAUGUAAAAUAUAAGCAAGUUUUACACAGUAUCAUCAUUUUAAAGGAUGUCAACAGUAAUUUACUGUGGGGAUGAAAGACAGAUGUUUAAUGAAACAGUCAGUGAAAAAGAAUGACUCUUGGAAGAGUGGAUAAAACAACGGCAAGAAUGGCAGGUCCUAUUGAUAGAUGGUUUCUAUCAAUAAACAGAUCUGUUUCAAGUGAGCUACAUGGCAGGAACAAAAGGCAGGAGAGGCCUUGGAGGAGACACAGGAUGAACGUGGAGCGCAGCUGGAUCAGAUCAAUCACGCUUCAUGGCCAAGAAUUAUGGAAAACCUCCAGAGAGGUUCAUUGUUGCAGAAAUCAUCGUGUAGACUUCAGAUACAGCCCGCAGUGUCCGUCACUUGGUGCUUGUCUUGAGGAAAUGCUGCAGAGGAGCCUGUUUGGAUAUCAGCUGUAGAAUUAACCUGGUCAAGUUGGCUCUGCUGAGGUAAUCACAUUAAAUGCUAAGAACGUGGUAUGCGUGACAUCAGUUUUUGGUGCCACUUCUAGAAAGGAAGAGGGAUCUUGCUAAGAUCUUGCUAAGCAGGCUAUGCUGGUUUCUCUGUGGGACAAGGUGCAGUAAUUACAGUUGCAUGCUAAGGACCUUUUACAGAAUUCUCCUCUGCCUUCCUCGUUCUGUGAAGCAGAUCUGGAAGAAACAGCAUCAUGGAAGCCAGUGGGUUUCAUGUGUACUACACUGCUGGGCAAAGGAUAAGAGGAAGAGUGGUCACUGAUAAAUCAUCUGUGUCAUUAUCAUUUAUAUGUAUCUAUGUGGGAUGAAAGGAUUAGAGUCAUAAAUAUACUUCCUUCUCUGAUAUCCAAGCCACGAAAAUGUAGAAAAAAAUGUUUUCUCGGCUGUCAGGGGUUACAGAAGUGGUGAAAAAAACACCACCACCUCCAAAAGCUUUACUAAAUCCUGUGAGGUAGCAGGAGCAGUGCCCAGGACAUGGCAUGAGGUGCCAACAACAACAACCAGCAUAAACAAGCUCACUGCCAGUGGGUGAGGCUCCUUCAGGGUAGGCCGUAUUACCUCUGCCAUUUACUCAGUGCAGCCAAAUCCCACAGAAGAAAGAAUGGGCCAGGCACACAUUUGUUUCUGACAGAAAGCUGUGCAUCUUUUGUACACAUCAGCUGUGCUAAGCCAUCUCAUUCUGCCAAUGCAUUACUGUUGCACUGGCUGAUCUGAGAUCAGGUUCCUCCCUUUUCCGUCUGCCUGCACCCAUCUCCUUCUGCAACCCUCUGGUGUGUAUAUUCACUCUUUCAUGGCUCUGAUUCAUGAGAGUUUCUCUGUUCUGUUCAGAAGAAUAGUAGUAACUCAUGGCUGCCUUCUGGUUGGCAACUGUAAAGAAAAUCUUCUUGGCGCAUACAGAAAAUUGCAAGUUGUAUUGUCUAUGGAAGAGUCACCCCCACCGAUGUGUAAAAGGUAUUACAAACUCACGUGGGAGCUAGCAAGUCCUUCCAACAUGCUUUCAGGUCAACUGUUUCCCCUGAGUUUUAUAUCAUUCCAUUCGAUGACAAGGAAAGUUUCUUUCAUUGUGUUCUGUUGUACUUGUAAAACAUAAAAAUGAAAUGUGUAAGCCCACGAAGUUCAUAUAAAUCCUCUUGCUCUGUUUAUUCUAGCUUGGUUCUUGUGUACACUUAUCUCUGGGUAAAAAAAAUCAUCUAAAUUUUUCUUUAUAUUGUAUCUCUGUUUAUUGUCAUAAUGGAAAUUCUCAAAACCACAAGUCACCAGAAGCACCUCAGUUCUGAACUUUUAAGCUAGUAAGUCCUGGAAGCUUUUCUCUCCAGAGCUAUUUCAAAAUGUCAAGAGAAGAAUUAUUCCAUCGCUUUAGCUAUAGCAGUCACUAUCUUCGAUAAAAUAUAUGAUUCUAUUUCCCUGUCAUUUGGAUCAUUUGAUUGGAUAUAUUUUCCAAUUUUCCUCUUAAUUGGAAUUUUUGCUUAUUCUUCUUGAGAAUUAUCGUGCACGUAACCCCAUAAUUUCCAAGCAAAUGUGUAUCAGCGUUUUGUCGGCUGACAUUAUGAUAUUAAAAAUCUUUCACAU
ensembl:lncRNA